UAAGGAAUAUUGGUCAAUGGACGAAAGUCUGAACCAGCCAUGCCGCGUGAAGGAUGAAGGUCCUCUGGAUUGUAAACUUCUUUUAUUUGGGACGAAAAAAGGCUUUUCUAAGUCACUUGACGGUACCAGAUGAAUAAGCACCGGCUAACUCCGUGCCAGCAGCCGCGGUAAUACGGAGGGUGCAAGCGUUAUCCGGAUUCACUGGGUUUAAAGGGUGCGUAGGCGGACAUUUAAGUCAGUGGUGAAAUCCUGCAGCUUAACUGCAGAACUGCCAUUGAUACUAUUUGUCUUGAAUGUCGUGGAGGUUAGCGGAAUAUGUCAUGUAGCGGUGAAAUGCUUAGAUAUGACAUAGAACACCUAUUGCGAAGGCAGCUAACUACGCGAAUAUUGACGCUGAGGCACGAAAGCGUGGGGAUCAAACAGGAUUAGAUACCCCGGUAGUCC
rnacentral:rRNA from 1 species